UACCUACUGUGCAUCAUUGUAUAUCCGCAACCGGUUAAACCCGUGCUCAUAUAUGUAGGUAAGCGAAAAAGUCGGCUCACGUAAAAUCUCGUGAUCUUUCGUUGUGAAUGGAGCUCUAUCUUGAACAAAGGUUCGGAAAAUGUACCAACUAAUGGUUAUUUUACUAAUAACAGCGGUUGUAGUUAUGGCGAAGGAAGACUCUGAAAUGAGUGAAGCCGAAUCAAACUCAGCUGAGCAGCGUAACUUACUGACGUUAAUAAUCGAAAACAUACCAAUUGAAGUGGAGUUUCCAACGACGCCUACCCCGCCUUCUUGUGGCCGAGUUCAUGUAUGUGGAACAAGAUGCUGCAAACAGGGAAAUUUUCCGUGAAUCUUUAGAAGCGGAAUAGUUAUGGGAAAUAAUAGUUAAGGGACCAGAAUAUCAAAACAAAAUAGUAUUAAGUAUCCUCUGUUGAUAUUUGCUAUAAAUUACUGUUAUUUUAUCGACUAAA